UACGUAGGGCGCAAGCGUUGUCCGGAAUUAUUGGGCGUAAAGAGCUCGUAGGCGGCUUGUCACGUCGGAUGUGAAAGCCCGAGGCUUAACCUCAGGUCUGCAUUCGAUACGGGCUAGCUAGAGUGUGGUAGGGGAGAUCGGAAUUCCUGGUGUAGCGGUGAAAUGCGCAGAUAUCAGGAGGAACACCGGUGGCGAAGGCGGAUCUCUGGGCCAUUACUGACGCUGAGGAGCGAAAGCGUGGGGAGCGAACAGG
rnacentral:rRNA from 1 species